UGCCUACAGUAUAAAGCAAAACAGAACCCUUCUGCAACACACUAAUUACUAAGUUAACAGCGCAGACCUAUGCAUACGAAGAGUCAUACCACAUAUGGUUUUGCUUUCUAUUACAUUCUCACACCUGGCUAUAUUCUCUCUCAAGAGUGGAACUAACUCCACAGAAAUCUGGAAAUUUUCAAUAACGCUGACUCACUAUGCAGAACUCCCAGGGCAAGAAAGUCAUUUGUUGUGUGCUGUGGGGGACUGGUACCAAUUAGACAGUCACUUCAGGUCAUCUUGCAUGUGUUGAAUAUUUACAAUGUGCCAGGUGCUUUGCAUUUAUCAUCCUAUUAAAAAUAAAACUUAUGGAUAAGA